GGGGCCUGACCGACCCCGACCCAGACGGUUUGGGUUCAACUCUCCUGCACAAAAUAAGUGGAAAUGCUGAUGGAAAUAGUUAGAAUAUAUUUUCUAAAGAGCUGACCCACUAGCAAGGGGCAUCAGCCCAAGGUCUGGGUGCCGGGAGCCCAGAAUGUUAAGAUUGCUUUCGCCCGGGCGUUUGCUGAACCCGAGGAACAGAGCUCCUGAUGUGGGGAGUGGCGGGCGCGCUCGGGGUGCACGUGCAACGGAGACACCGCCCCUAAACCUGGGGCCCUGAGGCUAACAGCUAACAGUGGCCCUGCCGUUACGGCCAGUGUCAGGUGCCAGCUGGGCUGGACCAGGAAUUCCCAGAAACCUGGCAAGGCAUGAUUUGGGGUGGGUCGUGCUGAGGGCCACACCAUCCGCUUCCCCGCUUCUGAGGCCUUCCGACCUGGGCUGAGCCCGGCUACCCGAGUCCCGGGGUCUCCGGCUCACAGACUUCUCGGCCUCCGUAAUUGCAAACGCCAGCUCCCCCAGUCCAUCUCCUGUCCUGGAUCUACGUCUAUAUCCUACUGGAUCCGUCUCUCUGGAGAACCCUAAUACAGCUGUCAACACAAGGAUGAACUAACUACAAGAAGGCCUGAAUAGGAACUCUCCCAGGGGACGAAGAGGUUUCAGCCUUCAGCAAAGGAUGGUUCAUAGAAACCGUUCGCAUAGUCGGCCCUCCACGGACUGCAACCCUAGUUAAUAUUACCUACAGUAAACAAAAAAUUCAAGUAUAGAUUUUAGUCUAAAGCAAAUAGGAAAUGUCGCUUCCCUGGACGUUGGGAGAAGCAAACACGAAUCCUCUCCUGAGGCCGGAAGCGGUGGCUCACGCCUGUAAUCCCAGCACUUUGGGAGGCUGAGGCGGGCGGAUCAUUUUAUAACUAUCUAUUAAAUGUUUAAGUUUUCAGUCCAUUUUUCCUGUCUACAUGGAAUUGCCGACUGCACAAAGAACACAUGAGGGCUCUCUCAAGGCCAUCAUUUCCGCGGAGUCCCAUUUCCUGACUCAAAUGACAAGCUCUCAACUUUCUACUCAAGAUCAUUGAAACAUCUGUGUUGAUUAUUUGUAACCGGGAUAUGCUUUAUUUAUUAGAUAAGAGACUAACC
rnacentral:lncRNA from 1 species